rnacentral:lncRNA from 1 species
CAGGAAGCGCGGAAGGGGCGUGGCGCAGAGUGGGGCGGGGCUUUGGAGGGGAAGCACUAAAAGUGCUGGGGCCAGGCUUUCGGCGCCGAAAGGGUGGCGUUUAUAUUUAGGCCCUUCGCUAAGUCUACAUUGAAGCAGUUUCCAAAUGGAAAGGAAGGAACAAAAGAGUGGAAAAAAGACAAGGAAAAUCAUAACUUAAAAAAAUUAUACUUUAAAGAAGAUUUCAACCUCAGGAUACAACGUUCUCUAGAUAACCAAUAUCAUCUUCUUGAGCUCUUUGGAAAUGAUGAUCAUGGAUGAGGAGAGGCAAUGGUGACACCGAAUACUACGGAUUGCAAAGUCAUCCUGCUAGCCUGGCUUCAAAGACAGCUCUGGAGCACAGUAGUCUAUCACUAGUGGACUGUUUGUGGGAGAAAUUUGUGUCUUUUUCUUUAGGCCCCUGCAUCCCUGGAGUCUCUUCGGUCCCAGAAACACAGAGACACUUUGAUGAAGCAGAUCCUAGAGACAAGAUUCAAGAGUCAGCAACCCCUCAGUUACAGCUGGAUUGUGAUCAACAAGCACAUGGUCUAUUGCUCAAGCUUCCUGGUCGUUUUGACCAUUUCGCAAGCCAAUGGUGUUUUUGUUUUCAAGUGUAAAACACAUGAAAGGAGCUGGAGUUUUCCUCGCUCCUCACGGCUCGAGUGCCUUUUCUGCAUGCCACCUUGUGAGCCAUUUGGGCAUACUGGCUUAUGUUAUCACAGCAGUUCAACAUCUAGUCAAUUAAAUGCGAGGAAACCCAGUCGUUAGGAGAUGGGGAAUGUACAACAAUAAACAAGUGGUUCUGUUGAUUGCCUUGGCUGAAUUGAUUAAAUGCCUCAGAGACGCAGUAGAAACUCUUCAGUUUGGUUGACAGCUUUACAUUUUUGCUUUCCAGUAAUUACAGUGUCUAUUGAGCCAGUCCCUCCAAAAGAAUACUGUGAAAUGCUCUGAAUUGUUGCCUCAUUUACAGUAUGUCAUUAUCUUUAUUAUAUUUACCUGAAAUAAAGGAUUACCCAAAACAAAAUUCGAGUGCAUCCAAGACAGUGGGUGGCCUAUUCCCUGCCAAAGAUCACCUAGAGGAGUUGAAUGUGCACUCUAUAAGUAUUUCUGUGUCUUUGAUACCAUCCAAACAUGAUAUACAGUAUCAGCCCACAGAUUCACAUGUGCUUCAUUCCAAAUUGCUUUAGGCAUUGCCUCUUCUCACAGCUGCUUAUGGCAGUGAACCUCAAGAAAACGUCAAGGCCCUUCACGCUGUUUCAGACAUAGGGAGCCAGCCAUCUAUCCACCUGCAACAUGCAUCUCAUGACUGGCAGUGCUGAGCCUGUGCCCCUGCAACAUCCCAAUGUCGCACAUCAUUGGCCAUGACCCCAGUGACUGUCCGUCCCCUGGAACCCAUCACCCCUGGUCCAACUGCGGCCACAGUUGCCAUGGCUGUACCCAGCCGAUGGCCAAGCAUGAAGAAGUGCUUCUGGGAAACUCUGAUGCCUUGGUGUGGUCUGGUGUGGGGGCCCCUAAUCACCAAGGUGUCAGUAUCAGACAGUGGGGCCUCUGGGGGCUGAUUACUUAAGGAGAGCUCCUCACUCAUGAACGGAUCAGGGGCCUGUAAAAAGGUUGUGCAGGAGUGAGUUGUCUCUUCUACCACGUGAGGACGCAGUGAGAGGCCUACACCAGACAUCCAGUGCUGGUCCCUUCAUUUUGGACUUCAAAGCCCCCUGGACUAUAAGGAAAUAAAUGUUUGUUUCAUAUAAAUUACCCAGCCUGAAAUAUGCUGUCACUAGCAGCACAAAUGGACCAAGACUGUCCUUUCGUGAAUAUGUUGACUUCAGGACGGCCCAAAGGCCCGGCUCCCACAUGGGCCACUUUCUGGUUUUAGUCUGGAGACUCUUUCUGCCUGCUCCGACUCUUUCCCCUUCUCUCUUCAGUAUUUCCCGAAUAAAUCUCCUGUGCUUCCAAUCUUAGCGCCUCCUUCUCGGGAGACUCAAACGAACACAAUAACUAAACAUCACACAAAGCAAAAUCAAAAAAACCUAUGACUUAUGAGUGAAAUUUAAGUAAUAGAGAAAAUGAUACUAUAAGUAAAACUAAGAAAGAAAUCUGAAAGUUUAAUAGCUUUUUUCCCCCAGUGUCACACUUUGAAGUGUAAAACCACUUGCUGUGUCUGAAUGAUUUAUCCUUUAUACUUGGCAUGUCAAAAAUCCAAGGUAACACAGGUCUAUGAUUAAAAAUCGACUCAAAUAUUGAUGGAAUAGCUGGGGAUUUAGUUCAGCGGUUCGGUGGCCUGCCUUGCAAGCACAAGGACCCGAGUUCAAUCCCCGGUACCAAAACAAACAAACAAACAAACAAAAAAUUGAUGGAAUCAUUGAAUACUCUUUUAUGUAAAAAUGUCUAAUCUUUGAUCACUCUUACCAGCAUAUUUUAGAAUAUCUCUUUUGCUUCUUUUUUUGAUUAGGAAAUCUUUAUGGUAGCU